rnacentral:rRNA from 1 species
GUGAGUCAUCGAAUCUUUGAACGCAUCUUGCGCCCCUUGGUAUUCCGAGGGGCAUGCCUGUUUGAGUGUCAUUAAUUUCUCAACCUUACUAGCUUUGCUAGUCUGGCUUGGAUGUGGAGGUUUAUGCAGGCUUUUAACAAGUCAGCUCCUCUGAAAUGCAUUAGCGGUACCCUAGUGGUUAACAGCUAUUGGUGUGAUAACUAUCUACGCCAUUAGAAGUGCCACAACUAUAUAAUAGGGUUAUGCUGCUGUCUAACCGUCUACUUGCUAGACAACUAUUUGUACAAUCUUGGCCUCAAAUCAGGUAGGACUACCCGCUGAACUUAAGCAUAUCAAUAAGCGGAGG